rnacentral:tRNA from 6 species
UACAUACUAGCUCUUGGUAGAGCAUUUCUCUUGGAAGAAAAGGUUGCGGGUUCAACUCCUGCGUAUG